CUAUAGUACAUUAUAGUUUUGCCUUCCAGUUUAAACAUUAGAGCAUGAUGUUAGUGUUAUGGCCAAGCAAUAUAGCUCGACUACGCCACCCAAUUAAAGAGCUGGGACUCUUAAAUAAAAUAACCUUAUCUUUUACUUGCAAGUUCCUUUAGUUUGGUGGGAGCAACACAACAGACCUACCCAAACAACAGUUCGAUAUAAAAAUAUAUUUAUUAUAACCUCUAAUUACAACAGUAAAAAAAAGGGGUGCGUCAUGCGCACACACACUCUCUCACUCAAGCUUAAAAGCGGGACACAACAAACACAUUCCAAAAUCCACUGGAAGUCCUUAGCUAGGUGCCCACAGUCCAUAAGCGUUUCCUAACACAAGUCCGUCUCUCGCCAGCAGUUGCGUCUACACAGCAGGCCACCUGUCAAUCACUCGCACGCGCCAACACAACACUCACACAAACAAAAAGAAAGCCGCCAGUAUCUCCACAGUAGAUAACAAACACAGCAUAGCACAACACCACAGUAGAAGAAUUAUCAAUCGUGCAAUACCCAAUUAAAUCACUGCAAUUCGUGAAUAUACACAAGCUAUAUAUUAUCUCUAAAUAAUUAUCACUACGGCAGACAGACUGGAACUCUCCAAUUUAGGUGAGACGUGGAUCUUAACUUCGGACGAGGCAAGGCAGCAUAACUUAACACAAGGCGUCACUCACCAAUAAACUGGGAGCAGACGAAUCUGACUCCCAGUCUUGUUGGACAGCGCUUCACAAAACCACUGGACCAGGACGGACGAGGCAGGCUCCAAACCGCACAGCAAGGAACGGCAGCAAUCUUAGCGCAGCAGAGGAGAAGACAACGAAGACUCACAGCAGAGGAGAAGACAACGAAGACUCACAGCAGCCACCGAGUUGAUAGCAGGACCGGCACAUCGACUACUUCGGGCUUUGACACAAGCAGACAAUAAUCCAAUGCAACGAUCGUGGCAACAAAAUAAGUCAAUCGCGACUACCAUCCAGCAGUAAAAACGUGGGGAACAGAGUAGCGACAAGCAGAGUUCACGGGGUCACGGCCAUUUCAAUUCCUUCACUGUUUUUGAACAGUCUGUGAUUUAACAUGGCAAUUACCAACAGCUGUCCAUCCACUAAUCAGAUAUGGUCCGAGCCCUAAGAGAAUACGGGGGUGUCACCCCACAUUCUAAAUCAUAAUCAAACAAUCACCAAAAUAAAGUGUGCAUAAAAUAAUCA
ensembl:lncRNA